AGCAGUGGGGCUCAGUGGAAAGAGCAUGGGCCUGGGAGUCAGAGGUCAUGGGUUCGAAUCCCGGCUCUGCCA
rfam:Ornithorhynchus anatinus chromosome 1, whole genome shotgun sequence.